rnacentral:rRNA from 1 species
AAUGAACGCUGGCGGCGUGCCUAACACAUGCAAGUCGAACGAGAAAGCCCGCAAGGGUGAGUACAGUGGCGCACGGGUGAGUAAUACAUAGGAAUCUGCCUCUGAGUGAAGAAUACCCUAGAGAAAUUUAGGUUAAUACUGCAUAAGCCCAGAAAUGGGGAAAGGUGGCCUCAAGCUACCGCUGAGAGAUGAGCCUAUGGCCUAUUAGCUAGUUGGUAGGGUAAAAGCCUACCAAGGCGAGGAUGGGUAGCCGGCCUGAGAGGGUGUACGGCCACACUGGAACUGAGACACGGUCCAGACUCCUACGGGAGGCAGCAGUGGGGAAUUUUGGACAAUGGGCGCAAGCCUGAUCCAGCCAUGCCGCGUGCGGGAAGAAGGCCUUCGGGUUGUAAACCGCUUUUGUCAGGGAAGAAAUCCUUUGGGUUAAUACCUCGGGGGGAUGACGGUACCUGAAGAAUAAGCACCGGCUAACUACGUGCCAGCCGCCGCCGUAA